GUGACGCUUCGGUUGCCGUAGCCGAGGGCGUAACGGAAAGCGCGCCAAAUUCUGCAGGAUAAAACCCUCCCCUUGAGGCAGGGGACUCCCGUGCUUGGAGCGACGCCUUCCGCGUUGCCUUACAGGUCCUGCGGUGCCUGUAUCAGCACCGAGCUGCAGCGGUGGCCGUGAGGAGGAAGAAGAGUCUUGGGAAGAUGAGUCACGGAAACGCUGAUAAAGUGAAGACAGCGUUUGAAAAAGGCCUUAUUUGUCUUUAGGCUGGAGUUUGCUAAUCUUUGUUAGACCAGAUGACCAGUUUUCGAAUUUUCCAGCUAUUUCUGGAGGCUUAAUGUGUUGGGUGCUUAAGAAACCAAGUAUCGGUAGGAUUUGCAUAGGGGACAUAACCGAAUAGCUGCACUCGGACACCUGACAAAACAGACUUUAUGAAUAUUGUCUUGACACUGUUGCAGAAUCUUGUUGGAAGACAUCCAGCUUUCUCCUCGACUUUCAGCUGGUGCUGCACACUGCCCUCCUCUGACAUCCGUUCCUUUGGCCAUGAGUGCUCUUCUGGUUCUGAGAAGGUCACAAGUGCAAUUCCAAGGGUUUCCAUCUAAAUACAGAUGCCGGAGGCGAGGAGCUGAUCGUGACAGCCAUGCUGCAGCUGCUGCUCCAGAGAGAAUCAUCAGGCUGUUUCCUGCAUUCAGACCCCUCCCAGCAAGAUUUUAUGGAGUAGGAGCUCUUCUGUGCAACAUGAUGGUAACAGGACUGAUGGAGAGUCACAGGACUACACAAUUGUAAGCCUAGCAGGAAGAUGGGCUAUGCAAAAAGGUGAAUAAACAUUCCAAGAUCGCUAGCAUGGAAGGAACACUGCUGGCUCAGUGUGUUGCACAGCUUUGCAGUGUGACAUUGAGAAAGUAAAUCACUGGAGGCCAUUUCCUGCCAACAGUUUUUAUGCAGACUCUCAAAACCUUUCAGUGGGGAGUCUGUGCAGAACUAAUGGCAUAAUAUUCCCUUAAGUCAUUUCUCUGUCAGAAAGAAAGAAAGGUAGCAUCUGUAACUUGUCUUUACAAGAAAUCCCAAGGACAUACUACACAGUAUGUGCUUUAAACAAAAGUAAACAUUUCAAUUCAAACCAAAAAAACCCCCAAAUCCUGACUGGACUCUUUGUCUUGUCAGCUCUUAAUAAGAGCAUUGUUUAUAGAAAAUCAUGGCAAAAUAGUAAAAUAUAAUGGCCAAAUUUGGAUAAAACGUAAGUUUAACACUCUUGUUACGGAAGUUAGAAGACCUUUGAGGAUUGCUGCUUGUAUUUCAGAUCUGAAUAAGGGCUUAUGUGACUGUAAAGUUCGGUUUUUUUUUUUUUCCAAAUAUAGCAGUUAGUCUCAUAAAAAUAAUGCCUUUCUGUACAAGCCUUUGCUCAUUCAGGAUUCAGCAUUUUUUGAUAAUAAUAUGCAAUACUGGUGUUUGGGCUCUUUUUCAAAGUCAGAGAUUUGACAAAAGCACACUGAUGUAUGCCAAGAUAUAAUUCUUGUGUAUUUUAAUUUAGGAUUACACUUAGAAAAUCCUGUAAAAUUAAGAUGACAUUAAAAUUAGCAAAAUGAAUUUGCAGAACUGAAGUUAUGGAGGGUUUAGAAAUGUCUGAGUUAAGACAGCCCAUAAAACUUGUGGUUGGAUCCUUUGUGAUGUACAUCAUGGUACAAAUUGCACAGGGGCAGAUGCAGUCUCCUCAUGAAAAACAUGGAGAAGGCUGAGCUCUUACAAUCUGAGUGGCCCUUGUCUCUGGAAAGGAGAAAUUGCAGGACAAGACCAGCUCCCAGCAGAGAGCACAGGUUAGGAGCUCAGUCCUCAAGAGAUGGCACAAGACAAGCAGACUGGCAGCUAGUAGAUGCUAAGUGAUGGAGUAUGCUCUAAAGAAUGCUCGGCAUAUUUAGCUGCCAUAUGCUAUCAAGUGCCUGCUACUGAGUAUGUGUGAAUUUAUAAUUAUUUUUUCUGGAGGUUUUUAACUUGGAUUUGGUCCAGUUUUUCAUAGGGACAACAAAUGGCAUUUGUCUGAUUUAAAGGUUACCUCCGAUCAAAUACUGUUCUCCAGAGCAUAUAGGGCUGCUAUGUGAAAUAAUCAUAGUAUUGUUUUUAGAAACAAUAUGCCUCUCUUAAUCAUCUUUUGAAAUAAUUUGAAGUGCUUUACGGAAAUGUUUCUUAAACAGCCUCAGAGGGAUACACUGAAUCAAAAAUAUCAAUCUAGACAAAAUUUAAACAAAUUUGGUUUUGGUUAUUAUUAGAGGACAUUCUAGGUAAAUUAAUUAUAUAUACAGAUUGUAAAUUUAUCGAAACUGAUUUUGCUGUUUUAUUCCCACAAAAUAAAACUGAGUAGAAUUUCAUGAAAACAUUUACAAGCCUGUCUGAAAAACAAUGUCUCACUCUUCCUUAUAAGA